ensembl:lncRNA
AUAUUUAGUUCUCUGACUUUAUUACCAAUUCCAUGGAGCACAAUGUUUUUCUUCAAAUCAUUAUGAGGAUUAUACUCAGUCUGAGAAUUUGACACCUGCUGUUUCAAAACUUGAUCACAAACAUUUCAGGAUAUAUAUCAGUUAGUACAGAAGAGAUGAAUAAGAUUCAGACUGCAAUAACGUAGGAAGAUUAAAAAAAAGUCAAAAUAAAUAUUAUUCCCAGUAAGUAAAAUAAGUCGAAACAGUUAUCCAGAAUCUGGAGUGAAUAUGUUACGUGUGUUUAAAUUAGUAUUAUCAAAUAUACAACAGAGUGCUAAAAAAAAAAAAAAAAAACCCACAACAAAAAACAAGACUCCUACUAGCAGAGGAAGUAAUAUUGUUUGAAUCCCUUAACAAACUGUCAGUACGAAAGCAGCAAGACUACAGGAUACAGCUGAUGGUUAGAAGGUUAAGCUCACAACACCAGAAAUGCUUGAAUGAGAAAGAAUGGAACAUCAUUAGAUGAUAAUGGGUACACAUUUUGCUUGAAGCAAUGGAUUCCUAAUGACUCCCAGGAUUGCUACAAUGCAUCAAGAGGAAGAUACUGUAUUCAAGAUACUGGUGGCUGCAAAGUAACGGCACUGGAAAUUCAAUCAAGCUAUAUGAAUGGAUACAUUCUUCACACAAUGGCCAUGGUUUCUGUAACUAUUCCAAAAAACCCUUCAUAACACAGAGCAAUACUUGGAAUCGUUCUUUUCAUAAUAACCCUCCUUCGCUUAGGUUACAAAGUUGAAUCUGUUCCUGAUUGAUUCAAUCUAAAGGACUUGAUGUAUAGGUUCAGUACUUUCCCCAUUCGGCUCUGUUUAUUCAUACACACAGAGCCAAGUUGGAAGAAACCAAGAGGACAAUUACUGAACAGAUUUUUCCUGUCACUAGUAUUUCCUCUUGUUCAUUUCUGGGUCUUGUUCUCCUUGCAGAAGACACAUACUCCCCUCCAUGCAUGUGCCCAGGUUUACUAGAAUGAAAAACCUUUGUCGUUCACAUCAAACAUCAUUUUAUUGAUUUUUUUUUUUUUUUUAAUCUUUCUACAAAGAUUAGCCACAGAAAACCGGACCUUGGCUCUUUCCCUAGCCACACUGGACACAUAUUUGCUGACAUGUCUUUUCAAUUAGACUACCCCAGAGCUGCAGAGAAACAGGAAACCGCUCUCAACCUCAAACCAAUCCAGACACCGGA